rnacentral:rRNA from 1 species
UCCUAGCCGUAAGAGAUAUAUACCGCGUGAGUGGCGUAUAGAUCCCCUCCGUGCUGAAGCUAGCGCAUUACGCCUCCAACGUGGGGAUUCCGACCACUAGGCUUAAACUCACACGAAUGGUCGGGGGCCUGCACUAGUACGUGAGUGUCUGGUUUAAUUCGCUGUUACACGAAGAACCUUACCAGGGCUUGACAGGUAGGUAGUAGUGAAGUGAUAGCGGAGCAAGCCUUCGGGGAGCUUACACAGGUCCAGCAGGGUUGUCGUCAGUUCGUUCAGUGAGGUGUAGGAGUAAGUCCCGCAUCGAACGCAACCCUUGCCAUUAAGGGCAUGUUUCUAAGGGGACUGCCCGGGACAACUGGGAGGAAGGUGGGGAUGACGUCUAGUCAGCAUGGCCUUUAUGUCCAGGGCGACCCACGACUACAAUGGCGGCACAAAGGGACGCGACCGCGCAAGGAGAAAAUAAUCAUCAAUACUGCUCUCAUUUCGAAUCGCAGGCUGCAAUUUGCCUGCGUGAAGUUGAAAUCCCUAGUAAUGCCGGAUCAGCCUCGCCGCGGUGAAUACGUUCUCGGUCCUUGUACACACGCCCCGUCACAUCACGAAAGUUGGUUAUACCCGAAGUCACCGGCCUAACCCAAGGAGGCAGUCGCCGAAGGUAUGAUCGAGAGUGGGGUGAAGUCGUAACAAGGUAACCAAGGGCGAA